GUUCCGAUGGAAAAAUUCCAAACGUCAGUCGCUGCGAGUGGCCGCGACCAAUCGCAAUCAUUGUAGAGCGAGACGCGGAUUUUUGGUUGGCCCCCCUGUUAAAGAAGCCCGCGCUCUCAAAAUUCGAAAUCGUCACAGUAAUGGCGGACGUGUGAGUAGCAGCGCGCGCGUCGAUAACAUCGUCGUUGAACGCGGUUUUUAUGCAGUCUCCGUCCUCCGUCUUUCGCGCAGAGAGGUAGUGGCGGGGAGACACUUCCUGCAUGGUGCACAAAACAAUUGAUCGUGAGUAUGAUUUUAAAUGCAUAAAGAUUGUCGAAUAUCGAAUUGAGAAUCUAUAUACCUUUGAUACAGUACAUUUUAUUUAAAAUAUGCGGAGGCAAUAAAACAUCUGCUCGGUCAAAUUUGGUGAGUUUUCAGUUAAAUAAGCAAAAAUUUUAUUCCUAAAAAAUGUAUGAUGUGUGUGUGUGUGUGUGUAUGUGUGUGUGUGUGUGCGUGCGUGCGUGCGUGCGUGAGUGUGUGUGCGUGUUGCAUGCAAUAUAAAACAAAGAGUAAAGAAGGGAAUUGAAGAAACUUAAACAGGAUGAUGAUUAUCAUCUUAAUCUUUUUUCUUUUUUAAAUAUGUUAAAAUGUUGGAUACAUAUUUAAAUUAAUCAGAAGAUUUUAUUCGGCAAUUUAAACCGUCAAUUAUGUAUAUGUGUUGCUCACGAAAUCGUGAAACAUCGUUUGCAUCGCGUAGAUAAUUAUUAUUUCGCCUUUGUUGACCAUAUAGGCGAUGCUGUCGACGCAAUCGAAAGGUCAGGAAUCCAUUGAUAGGAAGAGGACAUUCGCGAUAAAUUUACAUUUUAUUUCUUAUGUUAUAUUACACUAUAGACAGGCUUUUUCGUUCGCGUAUGUGUCUAUCCUUUGGAAAAUGGCAGUAGUGCUCAAACGUACGUAGACCCAAAAAAAGAUGGCAGUAAAAUUCAGCUAAUUUGCUCCACAAGCAGCGCUUAACGACUAAAUCGCGUACGUUCCGUAUGCCAGACAUUAUUUUGGAUCACGUAUUUUCAUCGAAAGCGAAGAGGGAAAAGUGAAUCGGACUGCAAUAACAUGAUACCGUCAAUAAUAUAUAAAUUUGUGUAAUUAUUAGCAAUGUAGAGUCCGAAAUGUCCGCCGCUCGCUUUCCAAUCACGAGAAAACUAAACACAAUGUAAGAAAGUUAAAAAUUUCUGUGAAACCGAAUUCUUAAACCAGAUGAAGAAUUAAUUUGAAAUUGUUUGCAUUGCUCUGUUUUUUACUUAUUUUCAAUGUAGCUAUUAAUUUCAUUUAUGUUAAGAUUAGCUUUUGUAAUUAAUUGUAAAAAAUUUAUCGUUACGAUAAUGUUCGAUAAUUUACUUUAAAUCUCAAAUGCAAGAAUUAAACUUAAGUUGUUUAAUAGCUACAAAAAAUAUAAAAUAUAAAAUAUUCAAAGAAGUUUAUAAACAAAGUACGUGAAAAUAAUUUAUAAUUUUACACAAUAAAUUCCUACAAAAAUUAAAAAAAAAUCUAUUUUUUCAGAUUUCUACAAAAAUCUUAUUAGUUAUUAAAAAAUAAACUAAGGUAAAAAUAAAGGAGUUUUCCUUUCAAAACUUAUUCAAAAUUUCUUAUUGGUUCAAACGAAUAUUAGCAAUAAUUUUUUCUCCUGAUCUUAUUAUUAACAGAUGUUAUCUGCACAUAAUUCUAAGUGAUCUGCAUUAAUUAUGUCAAUCUCCCUGUAUCUCAUUGUUAUUAUCGUACACGUUAAAUAUUUACCAUUUGUUCUGUACAUUUCUCGCGCAUGAUCGAUCCAUUUGUUUUCAUUCUGCAUCAAGAUGCAAGGAUCGAUAGCAAUCCUAAUUAAUAAAAUUUUGAUUUCAGAUCCGAUUCACUCCUCACGACUACAUUCUUUACGACGAAAUGGCUAUAAUAUUUCGAAGAUUAAAUAUCAACGAGAGCCUUUUUAGAACUUCGAGGGCAUUAUAGUACACAGCUCUUUCCUACAUACUUUUGUCACAGGUACAUGUUAACGGUCGUCGCUGCGAAGUUAGAUGCUUUCGAAUUUCCAACAAGCCCCCGUCGCAAAUGUCUUACAUUUAUUCACGUACUGCCGCAUAACGUGUAAUUUUUGGGUCUUCUUCUCGCGUCAUAUAUAAUGUUACACAAUGACAAAGCACACUGAGACACUGCGCCAAUCCAAUAGAAAAACAAUAUCGUCGUUAUUGUGCCGUUUAGUAUUCACAGAUCGAAGGGACGUAGGACCGCAAGGAUAGACUUCCGUUUGUCCUCGCGGCGAUUUCUCUCUCUCUCUCUCUCUCUCUCUCUCUCUCUCUCUCUCUCUCUCGUCGUUUUUUCAUUUCCUAUAUAGAGCUCACUCGCUAGUAGAUAAUAACUCGAAAAUUAAAAGUUUCCUUUUCGUUUCCUUCCUUCACCGCGAUUGCAAGUUUAUUUGUAAGCGUAGUAUUUCGAUUUAUCUAACGACUAAUCGACCGCGUUAAUUGUCAUACAUAAAUCAUAUGCGCACACAAUAUAAUGUGGUAAAAAAACAAUGACGAUCAUGAGUGACACCCGGAUGGGUGGAGAGUAAGCUAAACCAUCUACCUAGCGGAGGUGUAAUGUUGUACUUUUGAAUUUGAAACUAUGCUAUGUAAAAUUUACACUUACAGUACUUGCUGCUCUAAAAUCAAUUAACUGUCACGCGUUGUUCUCCAAUUUAUUUAUUUAUUCCGCGUAACGCAUUUGAUACAAGUGAAAUCUAAAAUAGCCGCGAGAGAUGUCGCGAAAAAAUGACGGUCUAAAUAUUACAAAAGAUUAAAAUCUCGGUUUGCAUGAAGAUAUGAAAAUUUAAAAUCUAUAUCAUUUAUAUAUCGAGAUGGUCCCUGCGGGAUUUUAAAUUGUAUUGUAUAUUAUUAUUUCUCUUUGGCUGCGCAUAUAUAUAUAUAUGUAUAUAUAAUUACAAAAACAUAAAGUUCCAUUUCGCUACGAUUAGAUUAAAAAUUGAUAUAUCUCAGAUUUCGUAUCGUACUAACAAAACGUGUCUAACAAGUGCACGGAAAUAUAGAAUCUAUAUGAUUUAAUAGACGAUACACUUAAUGGCUAUAUUAGGGGAGCUACUUUCUUCCUUAACGUUUACGGAAAUCUUAAGAAAUGAUAUUGAAUCGAUCGUCAUUGGUGUACGAAGUUUAAAUUGGAAUAACCGUAGCAGAGAGAAGAAGAGAAGCGUUUUGAAGCACCCGUUAAUUAGAUCAGCGUAGGGUUACCAAUAAUAUAAGUAGAAUAUAGAUGUUCGCAUACGUGUAAUAAGACAACGUAUAGAUUAAUGGAUAUACGAGAGAAAUUUAAUUAUAAUUCUUUGCGGGCACAAAGUGCAGAAACAUGAAAGAUGUGGAAAUGUGACUAUGAAAAAUAUAAUUAUAUACAAUUAUUAGAAACGAUAAAUGUAUAAAAUGAUAAACACGCAAGUUGUAUAUGAAGCAAUUAAAAAGAAAUCGACUUGUA